GUACAUAAAGCUGCCUCUAGCGCUGGUCUUGUAAACCAGAGGUUGAAAGAAUUUUCUAUGUGCA
rnacentral:tRNA from 1 species